ACGGGAGGCAGCAGUGAGGAAUAUUGGUCAAUGGGCGAGAGCCUGAACCAGCCAUGUCGCGUGCAGGAAUACGGCCCUAUGGGUUUUAAACUGCUUUUGCCUGGGGAUAAAGUGGCGGACUUGUCCGUUAUUGCAGGUACCAGGCGAAUAAGGAUCGGCUAACUCCGUGCCAGCAGCCGCGGUAAUACGGAGGAUGCAAGCGUUAUCCGGAUUUAUUGGGUUUAAAGGGUGCGUAGGCUGUGCGACAAGUCAGGGGUGAAAGCCCGUCGCCUAACGACGGAACUGCCUUUGAUACUGUCGCGCUGGAAUACGGAUGCCGUGGGAGGAAUGAGUAGUGUAGCGGUGAAAUGCAUAGAUAUUACUCAGAACACCGAUUGCGAAGGCAUCUCACGAAUCCGUCAUUGACGCUGAGGCACGAAAGCGUGGGGAUCAAACAGGAUUAGAUACCCUGGUA
rnacentral:rRNA from 1 species